UACAGAGGGGGCAAGCGUUGUUCGGAAUUACUGGGCGUAAAGGGCGCGUAGGCGGCCUGCUAAGUCGAACGUGAAAUCCCUGGGCUCAACCCAGGAACUGCGUCCGAUACUGGUUGGCUUGAAUCCGGGAGAGGGAUGUGGAAUUCCAGGUGUAGCGGUGAAAUGCGUAGAUAUCGUCAAGAACACCAAUAGUGAAGACAGUUUACUAGACUUCAACUGACGCUGAGGCACGAAAGUGUGGGGAUCAAACAGG
rnacentral:rRNA from 1 species